CAUCCGAGGAGCGUUGCAGCGUCCCCAGCAUUGGCGGGGCGUGAGGCUCGGAGUCAUCAAGCAACGACGCUCAUCCACU
rfam:Burkholderiales bacterium RIFCSPLOWO2_12_FTLL_65_40 rifcsplowo2_12_scaffold_117, whole genome shotgun sequence.